CUACUCGGAAGUGAUCAUAAUGAACCAAGCGUCGUGCCAGAAAAUUUGGUCAAAAGUGCAAUUUAAGCUGCAGGGAGAACAGAUGUGCGUGGAAACCAGCAUUCCUUGUCAGGUGGGAGGAGGUGGCGCUGUCACUAUUUCAGACAAAGGCUUUGCUACCCUUGUUGCAAUCGCACCAGGUUUUGACCUUUGUCACGCGUCGCAACCCAUCGUGUACACAAGAAUCGGCCCUUACAUUGAUUGGAUACAAAAAAUGGCAUCCUAAAAUUUAAUAUAUAGUGUUGAUAAGAAGUUAUGGAUUUUUCAAUUAUAUGACGAUUAUUUUCAUUUAUUUGAAAUUAUGAGUGUAAUUUCUAUGAUAAUAUAAGUUUCAACGCAAAUUAAAAAUGUAAACAUAAUCGUAAAAAUCAUUUGUGUGGAGAGUUUUGUAACAUUUUUCCUGUCUGAAAACCCCACUGAAAUGUCACUUUUACUAAUGGAAAUUUGUCUUUUAGUUCAGAAUUUUAAGUUUGAAAAUGAUUUUGUUCAAAGAGCACCCUCAAAAAAUAAAACUUCAGAGCAGGGUGGUGCGUCAGCCAAUGCCGUAAGUAGUAAUUUUUUGUAAUAAUUAUAUUUUGUUACACAAUAAUACUUUUAUCAAAAACUACUUCUCUCGCUCACUAGUUUUUUCCAUAAGAAUAAAAUUUUACCGGUAAGUGUAUG